CCCUGCUGGUCCUGACUGUAAUGAUCACAUAAUAUUGAUAACACAGAGAAUAUGAUGCUGUUGCUGCCCAUUAACAAUGGGGAGCAUUCCUCCGUACAGUUGGACCUUGAUCCCGAACGCCUUGGUACUCAGACGUUUUGGCUCCUGAAUGCUGCAAACCCGGAGGGCUUUGGAGCUUUUCAAUCAUCCCCACUGUGUGAUCCCAGUCUCCAAUAAUGGCUUCUCCCCUGGUCACCAGGGUGACAACUGCCUUUAUGGAAAUGUGAGACCAAAUAGCUCGGAUCAAAGUACAAAGAGCAGAGGAUACAAAGCAACUACUGGAAAUUCUUAAAGGUCUGCACAAGCUCCUACCAAGAGAUCAACACGCAAUUCCCACUUGCCCUCCCUGACCUCAGUGUGCUUUGAACUGAUGAAAUGCAAGCACCGGUUUCCCCCGCAGAAGCCACAAGGAUUUCUCCCUCAAUGUGAAGAGCAAAUCAAAUCAACAAAUGGAAAACUAAAACAGCCAGCAUUUUGUGUUGCCAAAUGAUUAAGAAAACGCUUCCUUGG